rnacentral:lncRNA from 1 species
CAGCUGAUUCGAAACCAUUGCACUGGUCAGAUCUGUUGUUACUCAAACUUGUAGGAAAACUUCAGAGUUCGAGCACCUCUUUUUUUAAACAUUUUGUUAUGUUAUUGAGAUGGAAGCAGAUAUGAAGGAGCGAGGGAGACAUAGAGAGGAGGACUCAGGGAUUGAACCCCUGCCACUAGGACCCAUCUCGAGGCAACACUAUGCUACCACUAGAUCAGACUAAAACACAUCCUGGAACAGAUGAAGUCACUAUUCUAGAACCUGCCCAGAGCAACACAUGAAGGAAAAUCAAGCCAUGGAGGCGCCAGAAGCGGAGGGACCAGCAGUGGAGGGACCAGCAGUGGAGGGACCAGCAGUGGAGGGACCAGCAGUGGAGGGACCAGCAGUGGAGGGAUCAGCACAGGAGGGAUCAGCAGUGGAGGCGUCAGCUGCAGGAGCAGAGGGGUCAGCAGCAGGAGCAGAGGGGUCAGCAGCAGGAGCAGAGGGGUCAGCAGCAGGAGCAGAGGGGUCAGCAGCAGGAGCAGAGGGGUCAGCGUAUACCUCCUACCUGUGAUGUGUGUCUGAAUAAUGACAAGAACACUGACGUAGUAUUCAUACACUGUCGUCACCUGCUGUGUUUCGAGUGUGUUCACAUGUUACCUCCUGGAACUGAGUAUCUCAACUGUUCAUACUGCCUUAAGUUGUAGGCUUUGAUUUCCCAGGUCUGUAGUGACGCCUCAAGCACUGCGAUGCAGUGACAUAGAACAGUGCCCCACUCGGAAAGCCCCAAUGCAUACCUUUUAACAAUUUUUUUCAUACUAGUACCACAUGGGAAUCAAACCUCUUAAAGGGGCAAUCUGUGUCUGCAAUAAAAAUAAAGAGAGUUACACACACUAUAUAAAGGCUCCCAGUAAUUUAUUGGAUAAAC